rnacentral:rRNA from 1 species
AGUGAACGCUGGCGGUAGGCCUAACACAUGCAAGUCGAACGGCAGCACAGUAAGAGCUUGCUCUUACGGGUGGCGAGUGGCGGAAGGGUGAGGAAUACAUCGGAAUCUACUUUUUCGUGGGGGAUCACGUAGGGAAACUUACGCUAAUACCGCAUACGACCUACGGGUGAAAGCAGGGGAUCUUCGGACCUUGCGCGAUUGAAUGAGCCGAUGUCGGAUUAGCUAGUUGGCGGGGUAAAGGCCCACCAAGGCGACGGUCCGUAGCUGGGCUGAGUGGAUGAUCAGACACAGGGGAAGUGAGACACGAUCCAGACACCGACGUGAGGCAGCAGGGGGGAAUAUGGGAAAAGGGGCGGAAGCCUGAACCAGCCAUGCCGCGUGGGUGAAGAAGGCCUUCGGGUUGUAAAGCCCUUUUGUUGGGAAAGAAAAGCAGCAGGUUAAUACCCCGCUGUUCGGACGGAACCCAAAGAAUAAGCACCGGCUAACUUCGU